rnacentral:rRNA from 1 species
UACGUAGGGUCCGAGCGUUGUCCGGAUUUACUGGGCGUAAAGCGCGCGCAGGCGGCCCGCGAGGUGUCACGUGAAAGCCCCGGGCUCAACUCGGGAGGGUCGUGGCAAACCGGCGGGCUUGAGGCCGGUAGAGGUGGGUGGAACUCCUGGUGGAGUGGUGAAAUGCGUAGAGAUCAGGAAGAACACCCGUGGCGAAGGCGGCCCACUGGGCCGGUACUGACGCUGAGGCGCGAAGGCGUGGGGAGCGAACGGG